ACGGAAGGCAGCAGUGAGGAAUAUUGCACAAUGGGCGCAAGCCUGAUGCAGCGACGCCGCGUGAGCGAAGAAGUAUUUCGGUAUGUAAAGCUCUAUCAGCAGGGAAGAAAAUGACGGUACCUGACUAAGAAGCUCCGGCUAAAUACGUGCCAGCAGCCGCGGUAAUACGUAUGGAGCAAGCGUUAUCCGGAUUUACUGGGUGUAAAGGGAGCGUAGACGGAACAGCAAGUCUGAUGUGAAAGGCAGGGGCUCAACUCCUGGACUGCAUUGGAAACUGCUGAUCUUGAGUGCCGGAGAGGUAAGCGGAAUUCCUAGUGUAGCGGUGAAAUGCGUAGAUAUUAGGAGGAACACCAGUGGCGAAGGCGGCCUGCUGGACGACAACUGACGCUGAGGCGCGAAAGCGUGGGGAGCAAACAGGAUUAGAUACCCUGGUA
rnacentral:rRNA from 1 species